rnacentral:tRNA from 1 species
GCCUCGUUAGCGCAGUAGGUAGCGCGUCAGUCUCAUAAUCUGAAGGCCUUGAGUUCGAUCCUCACACGGGGCA